UCUGGAGGCUCCGUGGGAGAAUCCAUUUCCUCCUCGUCUUUUCCAGCUUCUAGAGGUGCCUGCAUCCCUUGGCUCAUGGCCUCUACCUCCCUUUGCAUGGUGGGAGGUGCUUCUGUCAUGACACCCCCUUCUCUGCUUCUCUGAUUCUGAUAGUGACCCCUCCUUCGUUUGUAAGAGCUCUGCGAUUACGUUGGGCUCACCCACAUAAUCCAGGAGAAUCUCCCCAUCUCAAGACCCUUAAUUUAAUCUGCAAAGUCCCUUUCAUCAUGUAACUACCGCCAACACAUGUCCUGGAGAUGAAGAUAUAGAUAUCUUGGGCGGGGGUGUUAUUCUGCUCCCACAGGGCCCUUGGGUGGGUGGGUGGGGGGUGUCUCAGUUUCCUCAGUCUGUAAAAUGGGGCACAUCGUACCAUUUGAGAGUCUGACUGCCUGGGUUUGGGUCUCCGCCUCUGCCUCUUGCUGGCGAUGUGACCUGCCCCAAGGGCUUCCUCAUCUGUGAAAUGGAGAUAAGAAUAACUAGCAGUGUGGAAUUGCGGAGCCAACCCGCCUAAAGCGCUCAGAGCAUGUCUGACACGUGUGCGUUUCUUUUUUUUUUUUGGCCGCGCCAUGCGGCUUGUGGGAUCUUAGCUCCCCAACCGAGGAUUGAACCCGGGCCCUCAGCAGUGAGAGCACAGAGUCCUAAUCACUGGACCGCCAGAAAAUUCCCUGACACCUGUGUGUUUCCAAGAGGCACUGUUCUAGACGCUGGAGAUACAGCCGUGAGCAAGCAGACGAAAACUGCCCUGGUGGAGUGGAGCUCUAGCAAGUUCUCACCCCUCUCCCCCACCCACCAGUGCUCUCCUUCCGUUUCUUAGAGACCCCUGUCUCAGC